AUUGAACGCUGGCGGCAGGCUUAACACAUGCAAGUCGAGCGGGGAAAGGUAGCUUGCUAGCUGACCUAGAGGCGGACGGGUGAGUAAUGCUUAUGAAUCUGCCGAUUAGUGGGUUACAACAUCUCGAAAGGGAUGCUAAUAACGCAGACGUCCUACGGGAGAAAGCAGGGGACCUUUGGGCCUUUCGCUCAGAGGUGAGUCUACGUCGGAUUAGGUAGUUGGUGGGGUAAAGGACUACCAAGGCGACGAUCUGUAGCUCGUCUGCGAGGAUGAUCCGCCAGACUGGGACUGUGACACGGCCCAGUGGCCUUCGGGAGGCACCAGUGGGGAAUAUGGGACAAUCGGGGGAACCCUGAUCCAGCCAGGCCGCGUGUGUAAAGAAGGCCGUUUGGUUGUAAAUCACUUUAAGCGAGGAGGAGACUACCGAGAUUAAUACUCUUGGAUAGUUGACGUUACUCGCAGAAUAAGCACCGGCUAACUCUGUG
rnacentral:rRNA from 1 species